CACAUCAUCAGCGCAGCCUCUUGGAGCAACUAGGGUUUUGGAGUGAAGACCUAAGUUUGGUAACCUGUCACAUGAGAGCUAAGUGGAAGAAGAAGCGUAUGAGAAGAUUGAAGAGGAAGCGCCGAAAGAUGAGACAGAGAUCUAAGUAAAGUCUUCUCUAGUGCGGCGCUUUUUGUCAUUUCUUGCUGCUUUUUUUGUUGAGUCGAUUAAGUAGUGAUAUCUGUUUUUGAUUUUAUGUUUUGAUACAUUUUGUUGAAUUAAGUGAACGCCAUUAUUUAACUUGAAAUGGGAUUAUCUUUUGCUUAUCUA